UACGUAGGGUGCAAGCGUUGUCCGGAAUUAUUGGGCGUAAAGAGCUCGUAGGCGGUCUGUCGCGUCGGCUGUGAAAACUUGGGGCUCAACCCCAAGCCUGCAGUCGAUACGGGCAGACUAGAGUGCGGUAGGGGAGACUGGAAUCCUGGUGUAGCGGUGAAAUGCGUAGAUAUCGGGAAGAACAUCAGUGGCGAAGGCGACUUCUGGACCAAUACUGACACUGAGGCACGAAAGCGUGGGAGCAAACAGG
rnacentral:rRNA from 1 species